CUCUCAAAACUUUGUCUAGUUUGACAUAAUAUUUUCCCCUUCAUUUAAACCCUUAUUUUUUCAAAAGAAAGCUAACUUAAACAAUGUGUUAUUGUAAUUAAAUAAAGGACUCAGUGAUACAAACACCAAAAUUCUUGUUUGAAAUUAAAUCUUUCCUGGUUUCUGGGACUGCCAGUGGUCCUACGGUGAUUAACUAGGGUUUUAUAGGCAGUGUUUCAAACAAGUGCUGUGUUGCGUGUGUUCAGUUACUGUAGUUAUGAUUUCAUUAGCUUCUCUGAUAAAUAAUGCAACGACUUUAAUGAUGCAUUUCCUCUUAACCUGUUUAAAAGGUGCAAUCAUUUCUGGGUGAGUACAAAAUGGAUAUAGGUCAAGAACCAGCGUGAAGGCCCCACCUUCCUCAAUUGAGUCCUUUUUAGAUCACAAAAGGAAAGUGGUCCUGCCAAAUUAAAACCCUCCAUAACAAUAAAACCUGAUUUAAUGCAGUCAUUAUUUUUCCAUUAAA
rnacentral:lncRNA from 10 species